GUGGCGAGCGUUAUCCGGAAUGAUUGGGCGUAAGGGUGCGUAGUGGCAAUCAAGUCUGGAGUAAAAGGUAUGGGCUCAACCCGUACUGGCUCUGGAAACUGAUCAGCUAGAGAACAGAAGGGGAGAGUGGAAUUCCAUGUGUAGCGGUGAAAUGCGUAGAUAUAUGGAGAAACACCGGUGGCGAAAGCGGCUCUCUGGUCUGUAACUGACGCUGAGGCUCGAAAGCGUGGGGAGCAAACAGGAUUAGAUACCCUGGUAGUCCACGCCGUAAACGAUGAGUGCUAGGUGUUAGGCCCUUUCCGGGGCUUAGUGCCGCAGCUAACGCAUUAAGCACUCCGCCUGGGGAGUACGACCGCAAGGUUGAUACUCAAAGGGAUUGACGGGGGCCCGCACAAGCGGUGGAGCAUCUGGUUUAAUUCGAAGCAACGCGAAGAACCGUACCAGGUCUUGACAUCUAGUGCAAUCUGUAGAGAUACGGAGUUCCCUUCGGGGACGCUAAGACAGGUGGUGCAUGGCUGUCGUCAGCUCGUGUCGUGAGAUGUUGGGUUAAGUCGCGCAACGAGCGCAACCCUUGUUAUUAGUUGCCAGCAUUAAGUUGGGCACUCUAAUGAGACUGCCGGUGACAAACCGGAGGAAGGUGGGGAUGACGUCAAGUCAUCAUGCCCCUUAUGACCUGGGCUACACACGUGCUACAAUGGGCAGUACAACGAGAAGCAAGCCUGCGAAGGCAAGCGAAUCUCUGAAAGCUGUUCUCAGUUCGGAUUGUAGGCUGCAACUCGCCUACAUGAAGUCGGAAUCGCUA
rnacentral:rRNA from 1 species